rnacentral:lncRNA from 1 species
AGGGAAUAAAUAACUUUUUAGAAAAUGUUAAAUAAAUGCAAUUGAAAAUAAAAAGAGUGUAGAAGGUACCUCCCUAUGAUGUAUGUAAAUGUGAAAGAGUGACAAAUGUUCGCUCGUUGAUGAUAUAAAAAGCAACCAAGUCCACAGAUUUAUCUUCUGCUCAAUAUCCCAUAUGUAAUACAUUCAGAGUGCAUAAUCUCUCACAACACAACAUCAAUCCAAGAAUAGUGAGUGAGUGGCCAACUGCACCAUGAGUGACCCUAAAUAUGCUUAUCCUUAUCCUGCUCAAGGUACCUUAUUUGUUGUUAUUAUUUUAUCAUUGAUCUGUUCUGGAAAAAUGCUUUCUUUGUGAUUUUCUGUGUUAAAAAAAAAAAAAAAAAAACACACACACAUAUAAAUAUACCCUUUUAAUUACGAUUGAGGAGAAGUGUUAAUGAAUUGAUAAUUUUGUGAUGGCGUGCAGGAUAUUAUCAAGGACCCCCAGUGAUGGCACCUCCUCAGUAUGCAGCAGCUCCACCACCCAGGAGAGAGCCUGGUUUCCUUGAGGGAUGGUAAGUAAUUAUCUAUUUCCAUUUCAUGCAUGUUCUCUUAUGCAUAUCUGCUCAUGUUUCUUUAUUUUUCUUUAGAAUUGGGUUUAUAUUUGUAUGAUCUAAUCUCUCUCUCUCUCUCUCUUUUUAAUUUUUCAUUUGUUUUGGGCUGUAUGCUGUUGCGGUUAUAUGCUGUUGCAGUUUGGCUGCUUUAUGUUGCUGCUGCCUUCUUGACGAGUGCUGCUGCGAUCCCUCUAUAAUCUUUAUCGACUAAUUAAUGAUGAUGAUAAUAAUAAUAAUAAUAAUCCGGUAAUUUCAGUGUUAGUAAUUUCACCUACUUUAUGUCUAUUGGAAUAUAUAUAGUGUCAAUGAUGAACUUGCCUGAAGCAUGAACUUGCUCAUUUCUGGGGUCAUUAUAAAUUUUUUUGCCUUUUUUUUUAAAAAAUUUUUCUAUCUGUUAGAGUCGUUCAUGCAAUUCAGGAGGAUUUCCGCUAGGAUUUGCUCUGGGUGUAAUGUUGGUCUUGGUGCUUGAUUGUAUAACUUUUUUUUUCCCCCCUUGAAAUUUUCAUUUUGUGGGUUGAUAAUAAGAAGGUAAGAAAAUUAUGGUCCUUGUGGAUCAAUAUUUUGUGGAAUCCGUGGGCAAAAUCUCUUCGUAAUGAGUGUUUCACACUUUUCACUUUCACCGAUUGAAUUAUUAAAUUGGUAGAUGACAGAGGAAUGUGGCCACUUUUUUGAAUUUGGUGCAUAAGCCUGCGUGGUGUGGGGACUGUCCAUUUGACUAGAAAGUGCGGUGCUGCUCGUUUUUCUCUCCCUAAAUAGGAUCGGGAUCCUUUCUCCCCCUCCAAAAAAAAAAAUAAAUAAAUAAAUAAAAAUCACAUAAUAAAUGAUUAUUAAGGAGGUUUGUUGGGUUGAGCUGUCAAAAGUGUCUAAAUUCAAUCUAGUGGAGUGGACAGUGAACUGGAGGUUUGGUGCCUGGUCGCACCCAACACACGUGUGCACGCGUACACACACACACGCUCACAAACAAAAUUCGGAUUAAAUCAAAAUGCGAGAAUUUAUAUUAUUAUUAAUAUUGCAUGAUUGGGGGUUGUUUUAAAUUAUUAAGUAAUCACUAAUUUGAUAAUUUAACACUCAAGAAGUGCUUGGUAAAUUCAAUUUGAAAGUGAUUAUUAAUAAAUUUGAUUCUCUAAAAGUUAGAUUUUGUAUUGAUUUUUUAAAGUAGCUUUAAAAAAAUUAGAUUUUGAAAAAAUACGAUAACAAGUGUACCUUCAUAAUAAUAUAUAUUUUCAAAAAUAGAGUUACUAAAAAAUUUAAUUUAACCAAUAAAGUGUUGGCUCCACUGGCAAUGGAGUCCCCUUAAGUGGCUUGACUAUGUUUGUUCCCCAGUUCGAGUCACAGGGAAAUCGCCUUUGUUGGGAGAACCUGUGUCUCCCGGUUCGAGCGGGGACUUUUAGUCUGGGUUGUGGUACGGGCUUAAAGGUGCCUCCCACAGUUGGAGCCCUCCACAGGAUACCUCGUGAUUAAUAUAAAAAAAAAUUUAAUUUAAAUUCAUGUUUAUAAAUUAAAAUUUUAAAAAUGAAAACCUGAUCAUCAAUCUCUUAAUAUUCCUUUGUCGGUCAUGGCACCGUCUCCGCCGAUCAAAAAAUUGACUUAAGCUAACAAAUCACAUACCAUCGGAUCUUAAAUUUGUCGAUCUAUUCAAUAAUAGUAACUUUUAUUGAAAAAAUAGGCCAUGUUGGAUCAAGGAGCUUGUUGCAACUUCUUAGCAGGUAACCCAUCAUUGAAUUUCUCAAACUUUAGCACAUUUAGUUAUGGAGUUUUGAAACGAAGAUUGCCGUCUCCUCUGAAAACUAAUUGGUAAUCAAAGAAUGGAUAUUGGACCAUUUAAGUAUUUAACGUCAUUACCUCGUGUUCUUAGGGGUGGUAGCUAGCCCUCCACGAGGCCAAGAAUCUGUCAAUUAGCAAUGCAUUGGGGACUCGAUCUAUCCUACGCCCACGUUUUGACAUAGCUAUUAGUUGAUACAGUGUCAGUCCACUCCGCUAGUUGACUUGGCCACACCCGAGCCUCCACCGUCCACGAUACUAACACACUGCUGGGUGGUUGAUAUGGUGCUAGGCUAGCCCACCUAUCGAACAUGUGACUAGGCUUUGAUACCACUUACUGGAUCGAGUCGCUUGUUGCAACUUUCUAGUAGGUUGUCCGCCAUUGAAUUUCAAUAUUUGGUACUAAAUUUGUCUUCGAAUUCAUUGAUAGCAUGAAAUUGUUGCUGCUUUAUUUUUAAGUUAUUGAAUGAUUCUUAUUAAUAUAAAACAAAAAAAAAAUUGAUUUUAUAUAAUUAAUUUAUUAUUUACUUCUUAAAGAGUAAUAUUAUAUAUAUGGUAAAUAUAUUACAUUCAUUAGGAUUGACAAUUAAUUCAAUUUUUUUUUACUUUCUAUUUAUGGGUCGUACUGUUGGACCAAAAAUAGAAUAUGCAUCAUAAGGCCCAAAUAAAUUUAACCCCAAUAAGACCCAUCUAAUAAAUUUUUUCCCAAUUAAGCCCACGAAGUGGUGAACAAACCACCUAUAAUGUUUCUCCUAAGUAACAAGGUUUCAAAACCCAAAAGGAGCCGAGGUCCUAGGUUCUAAUACUAAGACGAACCACUUAGGAUAAAUCAACUAGGUGGGAAGAAUUCAAAGCCCAAAACAUGCCGAGGUUCUAGACUCUUAUCUUAGGACGAACCUCCUAAGUUUGGAGGCUCAUAUAAUUCCAAGGUUUUAGUAAAAAUAACAUAAGGAUAAAACGUUUAUUCCUUUAAUCCACAGACAAGUUGUAUAUCCAUGUGUCAAUCAACAUGGUCACUAAAAGAUAAAUGUUGUCAAAUGUCACAAGAAUGAUGACAUUUGUCAUCAAAAUAACUACCACUCAAGUCAAAUUAGUUUGGCCGAUAAAUGUGUCUUUCAGUCUCACUAAAAGGUAAGACAAAAAGAGACUCAAAAUGAGAAAAUGCUAACUUUCUCCCUCUAAUAUUUCUCUUUCUAAAUUUAUAUUUCCAAAAGUCCGGUGACUGACUUGACCGUCGGAGGGUUUACGCCGGCAAAGCCGGCCCUCUGAUCAUUUUCUUGUGUUUGUAGAGUAUCACUAGACAAGAACAUUCCGAUUGCUUAAGGAAAUGGACUGAGAAGAAGAUAUAUAAAGGCCCAUCAAGAUCAGGCCAACAAAGAAGAAUCCAAAUUCUAAGGGGGUCGUCAUCAGUCGAAACCGUCAUAUCAUAAGUUGAGACAAAAUUUGCACCAACAUGUAAUAUUAGUGAAAAUAAUGUUUCUAUUUUUUCGUCAUUUGGAAGUAAAUGAUUUAUUUGUAUGAUUGAUUUACCGAAUACACAUAGUAAAAUAUUUGACGUAUGGCUGCGUAAUAAUUUAAAGUUACCAAACAUCUUACAUAAAAUGUCUCUAAAGCUGAUUAUUUGAGAAUUCAUGUUAGAAUUCAUUUUUCUAGAAGCUAGGGGGGCAAUCACAAACAUAUCCUGAUUUUUUUGAAAGGGAAAACAAUCCAAACACAUCCUUGGUUGUUGUUUGCUAAUAAUUUAUUCUCCCCCGUAACGAGGGUCAAUAUACGAGCUACGUCGCUUAAGUUCAUCGAUUGACAUUUCAUAAACCUAUAUUAUAUUAUAUUAUAUUAUAUUUAUCAGUAGAAUUCAACAAUUCGACUCAAAAUAAAUUUAAUUAAAGCCCAAGGUGACAGUCAACGGAAAUCUGAGAAGUCUAAGCCUUAUCCACAUGAUCUGAAUUACAAUUGGAUUCAAUUGAAUUGGAACCACCAUUAUCCGUAAUCCAUCUUAUUACUGUUUUUUCUUCAAAAACAGUAAUAAGGAAGUCGCCAGUGUUUUUCUUGGAACAGAAUUUUAAUUUGAAGUAAAAAUAUGAAUUUAUCCGUUGAUACUUGUUUUGUUGGACGAUUUAGCAGUUAGUGCAGGGCCGCUCGUGGGCUUAAAGCCCAAUAAUUAGCGAUCCCUGUUUCUAAAGGUUAGGCCCGCAAAGUCAGUAAAUAAUUAAUUAAAUAAGCAAAUCAACAAAAACAUAAGAAAGAGUAAUUAUAAUUCAGUGCUGGGUUUGUUUUUUUUUUUUUUUUUCUCACAGACAAUUUUAUCAUUUAUGAAAAUUAUAAAACAAAACAUUCAAAUUAAGAUGCGAGUGCAAAUCUGAAUCCUCAGUAUUUAAAUAAAUUUCCGUUUACGCGUACCGGCAUAAGAAAACGUCGGCUAAGUCAUUGAGAUGUACGUGCGUAUCUCCAGUACCUCCGCGGAAAGAGCACAUGGACGCCGAGGAAAGUUCAAAGUUUACUUAAUUUUCUUAAACUCUGUAAAUCUGUGAGACGAUUAUGCAUGAAUGAAUUCUGAUAUAUGAGUCGAAUCAACGUAUUUUUGAAAACAUUGCAACCGUAGGAUUUUAAAAUAAUAUAUUUAUUUGUCGUUUUAUCAUUAAGUUAUUUCCUAAACGUGCCGCGUGCGGCAACGUGUCCUCAAAAAGAAAUCACAGGGCAUUUGUAAAUCUGGGCAUUUACUUUUAUGUGUGUGUGUGUUUAAUAAAUUAUGUAAAUCUGCAUAAUAAGUAGGAAGUAGGUGAGAAACAAUACUGUAGGAACAACAAAUACCUCUUACCUUAAAAGAGAGGAGCUACUCGCAUCCCUUCAUAAUCCAUACAAAAUCUCUUUUGCUGAAAACACCCAAUAGGAAUAAAUGAAAAUUUUGAUCACUUUUAAAAACAUCCCUUUUUAUUCCACAAUUAACCCUUCCCAUAAAUCCUGGUAAAAUAGGAUGAUUCUUUGCAAAAAAAAAAAUUAACAAUUUUAAGUUUCUUAACUCAUCUUUCUCCUUUUCAAACUUGCCUUUACAAUUUCCUCAACUCUGUUAAGAGUGUUUUGUUUUUGUUUUAAAAUUAUCUCUGAUUAUUUAUUUAUUCAAACUUGCCUUUACAAUUUCCUCAACUCUGUUAAGAGUGUCUUGUUUUUGCUUUUAAAUUAUCUCUGAUUAUUUAUUUAUUUAUGAAUAUAUUGGAAGUGAAAUCCUUGAAAUGUUUUGGCAUCUAUAUAACAGCCAGUAGCCAAUAACUAUGUUUCACUAUAUGAAUGAAAAUUGCAAACGAUACAAGAGCAGGGGGGGUGUGAUUGAAUUUAGGGGUUAAGUUUGUAAGUAGAAAUAAAAAAGGUUUUCUAUCAGGAGUAGGAGUUUUGAGGCUACGAGUGACGAGGGGCUAGGGAGAAGGAAAAUGUCCAGCAGAUGGCCAAGUUGCACACGUGGCGGACAGGUAAUACCCCGUUGACGAUGAUAAUUGCUGACUUGGCAUAUUAGAAAUCCUAGCAAACGCUUAUAUUUGGCGGGAGAAGAUUUCCCAAGAAUUAAGAGAAAAAAAAUGAAAAACAGAAAGAUAUCUUCGCUGGCUCUUCCCUGAUUGAACCCCGCCGCACACGUCAUUCUGGUGUGCCUCGCAAUUUCUUUCCUGAUUUCGCCCUUCCCAUCCAAAUUCAAAAAGCUUGUCGUUUUCGCUUUCUUCCCCCCACUAUAUUUGAUAAUAAUAAUAAUAAUUUAAUAUAUUUCCAAAAAUUUGAAUUCCCACGCGAGGAGAUAUCAUCCAACGGCGGAUGACUAGCCACGUGGGCCACCUCCUCAGAUCUGAACCAUAAGUGACAGAUGGACACGGUUCGUCGAUGAUUUAAAGAGAUCCAAACCGUGAGAUCCAAGAUCUACGGCUGAACACCUGCCCGAUAAAUUCACGGGCAGAUGUGGGUGGCCUUUAAGAAGUUGGGGUGGUGCUUCUCACGUUUAUGCACAGCAUACGGCCCAGGCCACACUCACAGAGAGGGCAGCAGCUGAAGCCGUCAUUUUCCCCUUUUGCCCUCUUGUUCUCUCUCUCUCUUUCUGGCUCUCAGUGCUUUUAUCACAACUUUUUAAGUGCUCAUAACUACUUUAUCCAGUGAUGAUUUCCCGCCAUUUUUGGCUACUGCCCCGCCGGUGAUUUUAAAGAAAGAAAACGACGAGUGGGUUUUGGUAAAUGGCACCGGCCGCUCUGCCCAGUCGAAAUGAGCCGUGUUGGGGAGAGCCCAAGGUUUAUGCGAGGAGGCACUCGAGCGCAACCACCACCACCACUGUCGCCACCUCCGCUGCGAACUAUAGGGACACUAAGAAUAACAACAUUCCUAAAUGCAACAAUCCUCCUCUUUUCCAAUCAAAACCUAACCCGAAUCAGAACAAAGAGACCCGAGCACAUGAUCCAACGAGCAACGUGCAUUUCAAGAAGACUCCUACGCCGGCCCAACCCCAAUCCCUACCCGAAUCGGAUUAUGUGACGUUCAAUCUUGGUGCGUACACGAGGCGAGAACUCAAGGACCUGAGAAAGCGCCUGGUCUCUGAUCUUGAAAGGGUCCGGAACCUCGGAUCUCGGAUCGCGAACUCAGACUUCCAAGCCACACACGCUUACCCAACAACGAAGAGUCAAAACAGGGGAGGUUCGAAACGGGCCAACCCGUUUGGAAACCCGAAGGCGAAACGAGCAGCCGCGGGGACAUCGUCAUUAACAUCAACAAAGAAUGCGAUGCGAAGGUGUGGUGAGAUACUGACAAAGCUGAUGAAGGACAAACAGGGGUGGGCUUUCAACACCCCCGUGGAUGUCGUCUCGUUGCGUCUCCGCGACUAUCAUGACAUCAUCAAGAAGCCGAUGGAUUUGGGGACGGUCAGGUCAAAACUGGAAAACAAUAUUUACAAGUGUCCGCAGGAAUUCGCAGAAGAUGUGAGACUCACCUUUAACAACGCGCUGGUGUACAAUCCUAAGGGUCACUAUGUUUACGCAAUGGCAGAGACCUUGUCAGCUAAAUUCGAGCAAAUGUUUCAGAAAUUGUCCAAGCAGCAGCAACGGCAGGGGAUUUUGGUUAAUAAGGAAGAAGAAGCAGCAUUGGUGAGGGGGAGGGGGAAGGGAAGGGGAAAAGCGAGGGAGAUGAGUUUGGAAGAGAAGAUGGCGUUGGGGAGGAGUCUGGAGGAGUUGCCGCAAGAGGAAUUGGGAAAGUUGUUGGGUAUUGUUAAGAAGAGAAAUAGUGGUAAUGGGAGUUUGUCUUGCCAUGGGGAUGAGAUUGAGCUGGAUAUUGAGGCGCUUGAUAAUGAUACGCUGUCGCAACUUGUUCGAUUCGUGGAUAAUUUUAAGAAAGCUGAGAAGGAUAAAACCGAGAAGGAACCCAUGUGCAGCCAAGUUGCAGUUGCAGUUGCAGCACCAGUGGUGAUUGAGAGGAGCAAGAAAGGGGACGUUGCUGCGGAGGAGGAGGUGGACAUCGGAGAGGAGAUUCCGGUGCAAAAUUACCCGCCAGUGGUGAUUGAGAGGGAUGAUGCUUCAAGUGGCACCUCUACUUCCAGCACUGAUUCGGAGGAUUCCUCUUCCUCUACCUCUAGUGGUAUUUAUCAUUACUAUCAUAAAGCUCAAGCUCUUUUUAUUUAUUUUGUUUUGAUUUGUUUGUGGAAAUAUUAGAACGUAGUCUAGUUUCAGUCGAUGAGGUGAAUGAUAUGUGACUGUGGGUUGUGCGUGCUGCAGGUUCGGGGAGUAGUUCAUCAUCUGAUGAUGACACUGCCCAAUCACCAUUUCCUGGAGCCUAAAGAAAUGCCCACCAUGACGACCCAUCAAGCUUCUUGAAUUUUUUUUGAAGAUUAUUACUAUUGUAUUUGUUUUGGGGAAACUACUAUUUGCUGGACUUGCUGAUGGGUGGUGGUGAAAAUGUCCAAUUUGUAAUGGUUGUAAAGUGAGGAUUUUGACGGCUAGCCAGCGCACUAGUUUUUAAGUGACUUGAUUAGGAAACUAGGUGUAUGUAAUUAGGUGUCUGUUUUUAGCUUUAGUUGGUGACUUGGUGGGUGUACUGGAUCAAACAUAAAGAUGAAGUGUAAAAAGAAUUGGAUUUGUGGCCAAAAAAAAAAAAAAUUAGGGCUUCACCAUCUCAGGCAUCAGUAGAAUGGCCACAGAGACAUAGCUGAAGAAUUAUGUACAGAGAGAGGAUACUGGAUACCGUCAUUACCAUGUUCAUAUGCGCAAUGAGAAAAAAGUUUUUAUUUUUAUUUUUAUUUUUUUUCAAAUUUGUCUAAUUGCUCUGUGGGAAUUACUGCUUCUGCAUGUGAUGUGUGUCCUUUUAUCUCACGAGUCAUCAUGAUAUAUAGGCAGCUUUGCUGGUCAUUUUGCCCCGGCUUUACUCCUUCCAUUUUCCUGGCUAUUUUCACCUUUCUGUAUGCCUUUCCUUUUACCCUUAUUUUAAAAGCUCGCACUUUUUGUUUGGUUUUUUGACUCCAUAUUGAUUGAUGAUCAAGUGAUUCACCUAUUAACGAACCUUUUACUUCUAUAAAUGAACUUUCUGUCUUAAUCCCAUGUUGCUCGGCGAAUUUUGCAGCAAGAAAUAGCGCUACUCCUAUUAAAGAUUUCCCGCAUCAUUUUGCAACAAGAAAUAGCGUUUCGCUAUCAAUAUUUCAGUAGUGCUAUUUCUGAUUCUCGGAUUCCCUUUGUGUUUAAUUUUUUCAUUGUAUAUCCCCGAAGGAAACAUGGGCAUAAACCUUGUGGCAGGGCUGAUAAAAAUUCAAUUUGAUGACGCUGGAGCACCUACUGGCAUUUGUACUGGCAAGGAUUUAAGAGCUAUUGUUUCCCAUGCUUUCUCAAUAUGGAUGAAAGAAUUGACCCUUUUUCAUUUAUAUUGCCUUUCCGUUGUCUUCGCUAUCUAGAAUGAGACAGGGUAAUUUUUACUAUUUCCCCCUGAACUUGGUCCAACCCAAAGCUUGAUGGAUAGAUUUCAUGUCCAAAUAUGUUUAACUCAUUACAAAACUUUUCUUCAAAAAUAUUAGACUUCAUUAAUAACGUGGACACCUACAAAAUAAAUCUUUUCUCCUCUUUAAAUGGUGACGGUAAUCAGGUAUCUCUCGAUCGAAGACUUAUAUAAAUCUUGAAGGAGUUGGCUGGAGAGGAAAAAAGAAAAAGAGAGAGGUAAAUGGUUCUUCUACAGCUUAAUAUCUAUCAUUGUUAUAGGUCCAAGUUCAAAUGAGUUUUGAUCAAAGAUAUGUCAUUUACUGAAUACGUCCAUUCAAAUCAGUUGGAAGUAUGAUAAUUCAAGACAGGAAUUCAUUGAAGCAGAGAAGAUAUGUGAAGAGUAAUAUAAGUAACCAAGCUAAGGAUUGGAAAAACACACAGCAUAAUCUUCACAGGAGAUACAAGAAAAUAAAAUAAAACAUUUUCUGAAUCAUGCACGGCCAAGAUUUCAUCACAGGAUGCCAUACAUUAUUGAUAAGUACUCAGGCCACUGGAAACGAAGUGCUUCCAGCAUCCAACACGAUAUACAGAAUACAAACUUCAUAUAACAGCAGAUUCUUUUACUUAGCAAGAUAGACACUAUACAAGUAGUAGCAGCAACCCUGUCAGGGCAUAAGUCUGGAGAGUUUAGUCCAGUCUUCCAAGAUGCUUAGAGAUCAAGCAACUACAGUCUCAUUCAUGGAGACAGAUGUUUCUUUUGACUGCUCCUCAUUGCAAGCAUUACCAACUUUGUAUUCGGAUGCAGAUUUAGCAACAAGAUUACCUCCACAGCCACCGCCGCAGCCACCACAGCCACCAGUCUUAACCGUGUUUCCACACCCUGCUCCACAACCACCAGAGCCACACCCACCAGUCUUAACCAUGUUCCCACACCCUGCUCCACAACCACCAGAGCCACACCCCCCUCCACAAUCACCACCACCACAUCCAGUACUUUUCACCAGGGCUGCACACCCGCCACCACAACCACCACCACAACCGCCACCACAACCGCCACCACAUCCACCACCACAUCCACCACCGUUCACCAUGUUUCCACAACCUCCACCUCCCCCACCACACCCGCCGCAUCCGCUACUUUUCACACUUGCUACACGUCCACCACCACAACCACUGCCACAUCCUCCACAGCCACCACUGUUCACCUCAUUAGUCAUGUUCUUGUUCAACUCUGGUUCAUCUCCUACAGGAGGGAUCAUUUUGGUACAUAUGCCCUCCUCUUGUAACCCUUCAACACUAUCAGAUGCACUCUUCAUCUCCUUCAUAACUUCAUUGUUAGCAGUGAAGCCAUCAUAUCCUUCCUUCAAAGCAUCUGAAAGUAUAAAAGCUGAUAUGAUUCCCAGUAACAGAAACCAUUCUUCUUUUACCUACAUUGUUUUAGACAGCAACACACAUGCUGUAAGUGAUGAAUUCCCCUUUGCUUUCAUAACAUUUGGCAAAUAGAACUAUUGUACCUUGAUGACUCCAGAUUUCAAGUCAAGCAAUGCAAUUGCUUUUCCGUACGGAUCUGCUGGUGAAAAUUCAACGGCUGUCACAAAGUCUUCUUCAGAUCUCUGCUUCUGACAAUGUUUGUGUUCAUAAUCCAGCUUUCUGCCUGGAAAGAGGUUAAUCUACUCCAAAGAAGAUAAGCACAAAAUCAUAAAAUUGAUCAAAACUCAAACAAGAAGAAGAUGUAUGGGAAUGGAUGUAUUAAAAUGCAAGGAAUAAACCGCAAGUAUAUUGCAUUUGGGAAAAGCACCAAAACCUAGCCAGUCAAAUUGAAAUAAUAAAUAAACUAAAGUGAUUUUCCACCAAUAUAUUAGGAACUCAAACUAUGGAAAGCAUGAUCCUGGUUGGUAUGAAUACAACCCCUUGAGUUCAAUGAACGAACUUCUUAUGAAAUGUAUUGCACUAGCUAUCACAUAAGUUGGCAAAUUUAGAGCUCCGGGGUCCAUGCAAGUAGUCCACAGCAUGAGCGGGGUUGUAUCAACAUUCUAGUUUGCAAUAACUAUGAACUUAUCUAUUAAAUCAGCUCCACAGGACAGUCUUUGAAGAUAAACUUAAAACAGUAAAGUGAAUGGUGGAAAUUCACUUUACAGUGCAAAAUUUUACAUUCUUCGGGCAUAUGGAUGGGCAAUUUUCAAAUAAGAAUGUACCGAAAAUUCCAACAGGGCCCAGACAGAUAAGACAAUGGAGACUGAGGAGAAGCAAGAACAUGAUAGAUACAUACCAU